GAUGAACGCUGGCGGUAGGCCUAACACAUGCAAGUCGAACGGCAGCACAGAGGAGCUUGCUCCUUGGGUGGCGAGUGGCGGACGGGUGAGGAAUACAUCGGAAUCUACUUUUUCGUGGGGGAUAACGUAGGGAAACUUACGCUAAUACCGCAUACGACCUACGGGUGAAAGCAGGGGAUCUUCGGACCUUGCGCGAUUGAAUGAGCCGAUGUCGGAUUAGCUAGUUGGCGGGGUAAAGGCCCACCAAGGCGACGAUCCGUAGCUGGUCUGAGAGGAUGAUCAGCCACACUGGAACUGAGACACGGUCCAGACACCUACGGGAGGCAGCAGUGGGGAAUAUUGGACAAUGGGCGCAAGCCUGAUCCAGCCAUACCGCGUGGGUGAAGAAGGCCUUCGGGUUGUAAAGCCCUUUUGUUGGGAAAGAAAUCCAGCCGGCUAAUACCUGGUUGGGAUGACGGUACCCAAAGAAUAAGCACCGGCUAACUUCGUGCCAGCCGCCGCAGUAA
rnacentral:rRNA from 1 species